AGCAGUCUGUGACCUUGAACUAUGCUUGAGAGUUUCAGCAGUAGCAGGGAUGCCACUGCUCCAGCCAUUGUGGGCUCUUCCGCAGGAUGAAAGGGGUUUCUCUGACAUGGUGAAGUCAUUUUCUCCUUUUCUGAUGGUAAAGAAUGAAUUAACAGGUGUUCGCUUUGUACCACUCUUUCCCCUCUGGGCUAAUUGCCUCUGAUUUCCUGGUCUACAGAUUCAUAAAAUUUGUGCUGGAGUUUCAUCUUUCAAGGAGAAAAGCUGAAGUAAUUGGGGAGCAGUGCUUCUGAGAGUUUCCAUCAAAAGAGGAGGAAAAUGAUUUACACCAUUAAGGUCACUUUCAAUCCCUUUUUGUAGAUUUUCUCCUGCGUCCUGGAAGACCUAACUGGAGACAUUACAGCAGCCCUAGCUGGCCGGGUAAGUAGUUCUGGAAUUGUCUGAGGCUGUGACUGAAAGGGGAUGGAGAUUCUUGAAGGUGAAUUUCAGAGAAUGGGGAUAAAGUCCCCAAAUCUGCCUCCCCACAUGCAGAGUCUGUUUGGGACAUCUGUAGCCUGGACAAGGAAGAUGUUGGAGAAGUGGUGGUCUUAGAAUUCUCCCUAAUUUAUGUAAACCUGAAGUUAGACCCUGCUUUGGAAUGUUCGGUUUGUCUUUUGUGUGUGUGUGUGUGUGUGUGUGUGUGUGUGUGGUACCGGGGAUUGAACUUGGGACCUUGUGAUUGCAAGGCAGACGCUGGCACCACUGAGCUAACCCCUGACCUUCACUUUGUCUUGAGUAGACUCCAUAGUGCAUGGUGCUGCCAUCAAUCAGACAUUCCCCUGGGGAGUGUCCAAAACUCCCUUCUCUGAGGCAUCUUAGGCUUCAGCCUACCUCACCUGC
rnacentral:lncRNA from 1 species